rnacentral:rRNA from 1 species
UACAGGGGGGGCAAGCGUUGUUCGGAAUCACUGGGCGUAAAGCGCACGUAGGCGGCUUUCUAAGUCAGGGGUGAAAUCCUGGAGCUCAACUCCAGAACUGCCUUUGAUACUGGAGAGCUUGAGUCCGGGAGAGGUGAGUGGAACUCCGAGUGUAGAGGUGAAAUUCGUAGAUAUUCGCAAGAACACCAGUGGCGAAGGCGGCUCACUGGCCCGAUACUGACGCUGAGGCACGAAAGCGUGGGGAGCAAACAGG